UAUGAUUAAUAUAUACUGCUGCAGUGUAUUAGGAAGAGGGCAAGUCUGUUGAUGUCUUUCUUUUACAUUGAUGGAGAAAUGUCUCUUCCAGCAACAUCUAGAUAGAAUUUCAAAAUGGCACUUAACAGUGUUAAAUAAAUAAAACUUUGGAGGAAUCACUUGUUUAGAGACAAUCAAGAGACCUAUCUGGAGGUCAGUGAUAUUUGUUCAUCUCAGCAAAUGAGUGAAGUUUAAGAUAUGUAGAAAAACUUCUGGAUUGCUAGAAGCAAAACCCAUUCAUUAAUUAUUAAUUUGGAUAACUGUGACCUCAUCUAGCCUGUCACAAGUUUUAGGCAAAAUCUUGAAAAGAAAUGAUGUGGUACAUGAUUAAUAAAUGAUGAAGGCUGUGCAAAUAAAGUCUACCAGUUAAACAUAACAGCAUUCUAUUAUGUUUUUUUCCCUGUUGCUUUCUGCAGUUACCAGAUUGACAUAGCAAGGUUUGGGAUAUUUUAAAAAUUAUUGCUGUUUUUGAAGGUCAGGAGCUCCCUAAGUAGUAGGUCCAUUCUUUCUCAAUGAAAAUCUUUAAUUCAGCACCAGGUGCCAUUGUGAAAGAUUAGCAAUUGCUUAAGCCAAAUGCUUGAACUCAAAACAGAAUUUAAAGGGGAAGGUUGACUUCCAUUAUUGUUUUAAUAUCCUUAAUAUGUUCUUUUGGUUUCCUGGUGUUGUAGUAGGUGUGUGUUUAUAGAAGCUGUUCUCUCACCGUGCAGCAGUGGCUGUAAGGUGUACUUUGGUUAACCAUUGUUACUUUGGCAGUGCCAUCCUGUGCUGUAUUGGUUACAUUGUUCUGCCUUUGUCUCAGAUCUGGGCAGAGAUAGGAAGGCAGCACUGGUAGCCUGUACUCCUGUCAACACAUCCAUCUUGCCAGCUGGGUGUUGUUACAGCUGCAGCAGCUAUAACCUGUAUUGCCAGUUCUGUCUGAUGGGGGUUUGGCAGCCGGAGCCUUAGGACAGCAUUUGGUAGCUGUGAUGCUUGUCCUCAGUGCCAUUACAUUAUUGGUGGCAGCAGCAGAGGGGACUGGCCCUGUCAGUGUUCCUUCAGGGUACUUCCUUGCAAUGUCUUGUUAAGGACCAGGGAAUUCUCUUGUGCUCAUGGCCUUUGUUUGCUCCUGGGCCCCUCUGGGCUGUUCUCCACUGAUGGCAAAAGCAGCAGCCAGAGUGCCCCACAGCCGUGACAAAUGCCCUUCCAGAACAGAACUUGAGAGCAGGUUUGGGAAGAACACUGUAUGGUGUUGGCUAAUCUGUUGUCCUAAAACCAUUCUCUGGCUGGGAUUUAGCUGUGAACACAUUCUGGGCUUGCAGAGGCCGUUUUGAGCUUUGGAGGGCAGCUGUUUGUACUUCCUGCCACACAAGGAAGACUUAUUUUGCUCCAGUUUACUGGAGCGUGUCCUUGGAAGCUUUUUCAAGUUCUGCAUUUUCUCUGGGAAAGAAGCAUGCAAAUGUAUCUAAAAAUUGCUCUCUAAGUAAGUGUUCAUAGUUAGUCUUUCUUGUUACCUGCUGUUUGCAUACCUUGUGGUCUGGACAAAUAUUCUGCCUUGAAGCACAUCUUUCUCAGUACUUUUACUUCUGUUAGUUAGUUCCCUUUUGGUUUUGGAGAUGUGUAGCAGAGACCUUUUCAUUAACUUGAACCAGUGUCAGGAGCAGAGAGAUGGGUCAGUGAGUUUCUUAUUUUCAGUACAGGAGAGCUGGGGUUUGAAGCUUACAAGCCAGCCUUUUUAUUGUCAGAAUCAUUGUUUUCUUUCUUACCCACUUAGGAUACCAGGAAUUCAUGGUUUGAAGUUUUUAGGACAGGUUUCAGUCCAAGAAUUGUGUUUACAUAACCUUGCUUUCCAGUCAGAUAUUACAAGGUAGCAAAACAAAACCCCCAAAUUAAUUCAAUUAGUGUGGAAAACCAAAACUUAAAUGAAAAAAGGCCAUCUCUGUAAGAAGUAGUCUGUCAGCAGAGACCUGUAAUACCUGAACUAGUGCUCUUCUGCAUUGUGCAUAUGGCAAGGGUGACUGGAUGGCUAAAAAAUUCUAUAGUAGUUUGAUUUAAAUGAGGCCAUGGAAAAACAUACUCCAGCCUGGGUCUAAGUGGGACAUCAGGCUGCUUCAUAAUGCUGAAAGGAGGAAAUCAACUCCUUGGUAAUUAACUUGUGUUGUCUUUUCCUGUAGGAGUCUUUUGGAGCCAGCAAAAGUUUGGACUGACCAUUGGCCUCUAGAACUGCUUUAUUUCAAGGCAUGAUCACCCAGAAACACCAGAAACUGUGGAUGGAGUGACACCCAGGUUACUGAAGACUGAGCUGAGCCAAGAACCACCCUGUCAACGCUCCUUCUUUGUGCCAAAAAAGUUGGCUAGAGAUUUCUUUUUGAGAGCUUUCAUCUAGUAAGUGACCCCAAAAUAGGAACAAGUCAGUAGCAUUCAUCACCUGGGCAGGAUCCACAGAAGGAUCUGUGGACUGUAAGCUGGAACUGAAGGUACGAUGUGGGAUCAGUGUGGCUAAAACAGUGCUGGUACCUUAAGAGUUCAGUCUUGUUCUUCUAAGCAAACAUCUUAAACUGUGAGAUGCCCUCUAUGUUGCAGAGGGAGCAGAAUCCCUCUUACCCUUCAAGAUGAAUCUAAAGGGGCAGUAUGUGUACAAGCACUUUUUUGGGUGGGUGUGAAGGUUUAUUCCAUGACUGACCAAACAGUUUUCCAUAGAGAAUAAACUGGCAAUGUUAGAUUGGAA